CUCAAUAUAUGCAAUCUGAAGAUGUUUGGAUUCACUGGUAUUGGUUCGAGUCAGAUGGUUUGUCAUUCACUGAGUGUGUUGGGUUGAUUUGUUGAUACUUCUUGGUUUUAUUGGGUUGCUGUUGAUAACUGUUAUUGCUGCUGAUCUUUUCCUCUUCUUAUUGCUCUCUAAUUUCCAGGUAUUAGCCUCUCCCCUGAUGUAUUGGUGCUGAUGUGAAGUGGAAAUACAAUAAAAUGUUUACUCUUCUGCUUCUCGAUCCUUGUCUGUUUGGGUUGAUGGGAUGAUGUUUAAUAGUUUAGAUACCAUAGAUUAAUGUAACUUAGUCUUAGUUUACAUAUGAGUGCAUAACUGAAUUGAGGAUGGACUGUAAAUGGACUAUUAAAUGCAUUGAUUUCAUCUAUAGAUACAUUACUCAUUUAAACUGAUUUGAUAUACACGUUAGCCUAUUUUACUGAUUCAUUUGCAAGUUCAGUCUGUAGGAAUUCAUCAUAAUACACAUUGAUUUCUUGGUUGUUAAAUUGGCAAAACAAGAUGUUAGAUUCUC
rnacentral:lncRNA from 1 species